GCUGUUCCUAUUCGGCCAUCUUGGCUCCUCCAAAAAUUUUCCUACCAAGAGAACACCACACCUGACUGAUUUUUAGGGUGAAGUUCAACAACAUAGUACUCAAGGAUCACAUUUUUGAAAAAGGGAUUGAGGUUCAGAGAAGUGAAAUGACUUGCUCAAGAUCACUUAGCCAGAAAGCAGUGGAGUGGAAUCGAGCCCAGAUCUUCCAAGUAUUCUUUUCAUUAUAUUCGGCUGCAUUUGAAUGUUUACGUAUGUGUUAGAAGAACUCCAGGUCAAGCCUCUGAGCUCCAAAUUGAUGAUUCUUUUUCUUUUAUCAUAGGUCUAACUAAAAUAUUUGUAUAAUGAAUGAAUGUAUGCAUUAAUAAAAGAAAGAAAUGAAACGAGAA
rnacentral:lncRNA from 10 species